rnacentral:lncRNA from 1 species
AGGAACAUGUGUGGGGCAGCUGCAAGCGUUGGGUAAGCAAUGGCCAACGCCAAUGAAGUGACCAUGGAGACACCUAAAGCAAACUUCACCAUGAGGUCAUCCUCAGUCAGAUCCAGAACCUCAGGGCUGAAGACAGAACCAUUGUCAUAAACGGUCUGGACAACAAGACCGUAAGAGAAUGGCCUAAUUCCAAGCUUUGCAAGGAGGGCAGCCUCAGAAGACCCAACCUUGUCACCCUUCUUGAUAAGUUCAACAGGGGUAAUGAUUUCAACAGUACCCUUGUUAAUCUUGGUUGGGAUAUUCAAGACCUGAAAUACAAAACGUGCAAGUAAGAACUACUGAUCAUCAACAGGAAAGUGAAAAAGUUACAAUGGUGAAAGGAUCUUAUCACAGACCUGGAAGAAAGAGGUCUGAGAUGGGUCCAGCCCAGUGUUUCCAGGAGGGACAACGACAUCAAUUGGAGCAACUAAACCAACACGAGCGGGAGCUCCAACCUAUUUAAAUUCAGGAAAAACACAGCAAGAAGAUUACACCCAGAUGCCGUAAAACAUACAAAUAAAAUGAAUGGAAAACAAUCAACAAAAUAUCAUGAAACACACUUAAGCAUGUAAACAAGCAUAAGUCAAUAUAUACAAUUUGAGGCAUACCCUAAACAAGACAAACAAACCACAUAUGCAUACUAUGAACAAAACCAUUCAAUUUAGAACUCAUUUCCUAUACUUCAGAUUUACUCAAGUAUAGUCUUGUUCUUAUGGCUGAUGAAUACACUAAAUCUAAUACCAAUUAAGAGCUACACAACAAACUAGUACGGAUUCAAUGUGUAUUGUAAACAAUUAUAAAUUAUAAAUCAUCACAUCUAUAACCCACAAAAAUUAAGAAGAGCCUGAAAUCGAACAAAUACAAUAAUAGACAGGAAGCGAACGUUCGUACCUUGUACUUGGCAACCUCCUCGCUGACUUCCUUCAAAUCACCCUUGGUGAAAAUCAGACCCACAUUGCCCUAAUACACAGACCAACAAGAAUCAACAAAUGAACAUUUCAAACGAAAGCAGCAAGAACAAGCAGAUAGAAGCUUACCACAAGAAGGGGGACGAGGUUCAGGUAUACAUUGUUGCCGGUCUUCUCAGCAUGGAUUCUGAUUGACCUCUUCAUCAUAGUGUUCUUACCCAUCAGAACAAUGGAGUCUCCACGCAGACCCUUGCGGAUGUUCUGCAGCUGAUUGGAGCCAACGUUGUCUGCAGCCACGAUGAGGAUCUGGCCAUACUCAUCGAGAAGCUGGCACAGCUUAGAGUCGUAUGCGAUCUUCUUCUCGGCCUUGGAGGG